UCUCGUUAACCCGAGUUAUGUAAGAAAUCCCAGAAAAUGUGGUUAAUUUUACUCUCUAUGCCAGAUUUCUAGCUUUAUAGACAAGUGAAGUAAAGGAAACUAUUAUACAUGUGAUAGGUCUAGAUUUAACAAAAACCCGGUCUUCCAGCUAUUAACUGGUGCUGUUCAAGAGAGUAAUAAUGGAGUGCCUAGCACUGUGGUGCACAGGAAAAAAUAAAAAGCUGCAACUUCAGUGAGAAAAGAAAAAACAAACACAACUUGGAUUUAUAAUGAGUUAAUAUACAGACAGUAAUUCACUUUAGUAGGAUUUAAUCAGUGACUGAAAAAAGAAAAAUAUUUAGAUUUAUAAAAGACUGGGAUCAAUAUUUUACAUGUUGUAGUGAUGAAAUAUUCUGUUAUAUUUCUUCAGGAAAAUUGCAAACAAACUUUAAAUAAAUGUUAGAUUUCUUUUUGUUAACAAAAUCGCAACUAAUU